GUGCGUGUGGCGCAGUGGCAGCGCUCCGGGUUGUGAUCCCGGCCGUCGUUUGGUUCGAUUCCAACCACGCACCCCA
rnacentral:tRNA from 1 species